CGUGAGAUGUUGGGUUAAGUCCCGCAACGAGCGCAACCCUUAUCCCUAGUUGCUACGAAGGGCACUCUAGGGAGACUGCCGGUGACAAACCGGAGGAAGGUGGGGAUGACGUCAAGUCCUCAUGGCCCUUAUGUGUAGGGCUUCACACGUCAUACAAUGGUCGGUACAGAGGGUCGCCAACCCGCGAGGGGGAGCCAAUCCCAGAAAACCGGUCGUAGUCCGGAUUGCAGUCUGCAACUCGACUGCA
rnacentral:rRNA from 1 species